AGCUUUGCGCAGUGGCAGUAUCGUAGCCAAUGAGGUUUAUCCGAGGCGCGAUUAUUGCUAAUUGAAGACUACUUUCAGUUAAUAUU
rnacentral:snRNA from 11 species